rnacentral:lncRNA from 1 species
UGUGACUAUACUUUGUGUACAACCAGAGAUAUGAAAAAUUGUGUUCCAUAUGUGUAAUAUGAAUUGUAAUGCAUUCUGCUGUCAUAUAUAACAAAUUAGAAUUAAAAAUAAAUAAACUUUUAAAAAAGGUAAAAAAAUGGGAAAAUUAGAAACUAAUAUCGUUCCAUGCUGUACAUAUCACUUCCCUUUCUCAAGUACAAUCUGGCACAAAAUGUGUUGAGAAGAGAUUCCCCUCUAAAGGAAAAAAAAAAUCCACUGGGGUUGGGGAUAUAGCUCAGUUGGAAGAGUACUUGCCUCCUAUGCACAAGGCUCUGGGUUCA